rnacentral:rRNA from 1 species
AGCGAACGUUUGCGGCGGGCCUAACACAUGCAAGUCGAACGCACUAGCAAUAGUGAGUGGCGCACGGGUGCGUAACACGUGGGUAAUCAACCCUUCAGCCUGGGAUAACGACUCGAAAGGGUCGCUAAUACCGGAUACGGCGCGAGAGGCUUCGGCUUCUCACGAGAAAGCCACGCAAGGGGCACUGAAGGACGAGCCUGCGGCCCAUCAGCUAGUUGGUGAGGUAAGAGCUCACCAAGGCUAAGACGGGUAGCUGGUCUGAGAGGAUGAUCAGCCACACUGGAACUGAGACACGGUCCAGACUCCUACGGGAGGCAGCAGUGGGGAAUAUUGCGCAAUGGGCGAAAGCCUGACGCAGCCACGCCGCGUGAGCGAUGAAGGCCUUCGGUCGUAAGACGUCUGUGGGGAGAGACGAAGAAAGACCUGUGAGAGCAGGCCUUGACGGUAGUCUCCUUAGCAAGCACCGGCUAACUCCGUGCC